rnacentral:pre_miRNA from 2 species
AGGCUCUGCCCUCCGUGUUCACAGCGGACCUUGAUUUAAUGUCAUACAAUUAAGGCACGCGGUGAAUGCCAAGAGCGGAGCCU